GCCGGCGAGGUCCGAAAGGUCGGACGCUCGCCUCGUAAGCGAGAGGGAGCGGGUUCGAUCCCCGCCGCCGGCU
rnacentral:tRNA from 1 species